rnacentral:ncRNA from 24 species
UAUCUUUGUAGCAGCAUCGGUAUCCCCGCAUGGGAAUUUGGGAAUUCGGUGAAAACCCGAAGCUGUCCCCGCAGCUGUAAAGUCAUUACUGUCAUUUUGCAGGUCUUUUCAAUGAUCCACUGAAACCCGGGCGUUUUGGGAAGGAGAAAAAAUGACAAGCCAGAAAACCUGCCGAUCAUAGCUAAUAAACA